AGGUUGCUGCUCAGGAAGCUGAGCGUGCCAAGUUCAUCGUCGAGAAGGCUGAGCAAGACAGUAGAAGUGCAAUUAUCAGGGGACAGGUAAGCAAGACAGGAACUAUAUAUUUUUCUUUCACAUGACUUCACAUACUUAUCAUGUUGAUGGUUUCAAUCAUAGUUACUAGAGGCAUAUUGUUAGUCUUCUUUUAUUUCUUCAUAGGUUCAUUAUAUAUUUCAUUACACUUGUGGAAUUUUGGAAAUUUUGGAGCAUUUGAGCCUAACACUGGUAGUCGUGUACAUUUAAUUUGUGGAGUUUAUGGUACAUGGUUUCCAUGCGGCUUUAACCUAUUUGUGGUGUCCAUAGUUUCAGACUUUCAGUGGUAGUUAGUAGAGGCAUAUAGCUAGUGUUGUUUAUGUCGUCAUAUCUUCAUAUAUGUCACUGCAUUUUCUGAGUUUGAGGCAUAUAGCUAAUAUUUUUUUACAUUUCAUUUGAUUGAUGAUUGCUGUGUCCAUAUUUUAGUUUUAGGCUUUCGGUGGUACGAUCGUAUGACUGAACAUAGUUUCAGACUUCCAGUGGUAUGCUGGUAUGACUGACCAUAGUUUCUGACUUCCAGUGGUACGUUCACACGACUGAAUAUAGUUUCAGAUAUUCAGCGGUAUGUUGGUAUGUUCGUACUACUCACUACCAGAAUAAAGCCAGUUGCCGACGGCCUAAUCUAUGCCGACGGCCCCCGUAGGCAUACGUGACCCUAUGCCGACGGCCUGCGCCGACCGUCAGCGUACAAAACACCGUCGGUGUACCUCCACCUAUGCCGACGGCUACCGUCGGCGUAUAAAGGCCGUCGGCAUAGAUCUCUUUAUGCCGACGGUAGUCGUAGGCAUAGCAGACCCGUCGGUGUAUCCGCGGGCCCGAGUACUCGACGGCCAACGACCGUUUCACGCCGUGAAAGAUAUGCCGACGGCCCUAACGGACACCGUCGACAUAGCUCUGAUGCACCACGUCAUCGAUCCGCGGUUCAUACCACGUCAUCAAUCCGAGGAAGCAACAGGCCUCGGGCAUACCAAUUUUGACUACGCCGACUGUUUAAACGUCGGCAUACCUAUAUAUAUUUUUAUUUCGAUAUGCCGACAGUUUAACUGUCGGCAUAUCUAUACAUAUUUUUUUAUUUUGGUAUGCCGACGGUGUAACCGUCGGCGUAGGUCCUUUUUUCAAAAUCUUUUCCCUAUGUUUCUUUAUUUUGAUUAACCAUCGCGUACGUUCAGUUUUUUAAAAAACUUGUCCCUAUGUCCAGGUUAUAUAUAGUCCAUGCUAUGAAAACCCGAUCAAACCCCGUCCGGCGGAAGUGAAAGGGUUAGAUCUGGCAGUCGACUAUAUAAGGAUUAGACGGGACGGGGUACAUGGGGNNNNNNNNNNNNNNNNNNNNNNNNNNNNNNNNNNNNNNNNNNNNNNNNNNNNNNNNNNNNNNNNNNNNNNNNNNNNNNNNNNNNNNNNNNNNNNNNNNNNNNNNNNNNNNNNNNNNNNNNNNNNNNNNNNNNNNNNNNNNNNNNNNNNNNNNNNNNNNNNNNNNNNNNNNNNNNNNNNNNNNNNNNNNNNNNNNNNNNNNNNNNNNNNNNNNNNNNNNNNNNNNNNNNNNNNNNNNNNNNNNNNNNNNNNNNNNNNNNNNNNNNNNNNNNNNNNNNNNNNNNNNNNNNNNNNNNNNNNNNNNNNNNNNNNNNNNNNNNNNNNNNNNNNNNNNNNNNNNNNNNNNNNNNNNNNNNNNNNNNNNGGGGGGUAGCAAUGCCGCCAGGUUUUGCGAUGGGCCCUCCUACGCUCGUGGAAGUGUGGUCGCAGACACAAGCACCCGAAACUCGGCUCCGGGGUGUGCCCCCCUCACGGGCGUCGCUCCCGCCGUGUCACGGAGGGAGGAAACGACCACGUCGGGCGAACAUGGAGGGAAUCUUGGGGUGGGUUGGGCGGGGACCGUGUUCGGGGGUGUAGCUAUGGGCUGGGCUAUGGCAAACCACCGGUCAAACCCCGUCCGGUGAAAGUGAAAGGGCUAGAUCUGAUGGUCGACUAUGACAGGGUUAGACGGGACGGGGUACAUGGGGGGGGUAGCAAUGCCGCCAGGUGUUGCGGUAGGCCCUCCUACACUUGUUGAAGCAUGGUCACAGGUGCAAGCACCCGACACUCGGCUCUGGGGUGUGCCCCCCCUCACGGGCAUCGCUGCCGCCAUGCCACGGAGGGGGUAAACUGCCACGUCGGGCCGACACGGAGGGAAUAUUGGGGUGGGUUGGGCGGGGACCGUGUUUAGGGGUGUAACCAUGGGCUGGGCUAUGGUAAACCGGUGAAAAUUUCCACGGUCAAACCCCGUUCGACGGAAGUCAAAGGGCUAGAUCCGGCGGUCGACUAUGUCAGGGUUAGACGGGACGGGGUACAUGGGGGGUAGCAAUGCCACCAGGUGUUGCGGUGGGCCCCUCCUACGCUUGUGGAAGUGUGGCCGCAGGCGCAAGCUCCCGACACUCGGCUCCGGGGUGUGCCCCCCUCACGGGCGUCGCUGCCGCCGUGUCACGGAGGGAGGAAACGACCACGUCGGGCCGACAUGGAGGGAAUCUUGUGGUGGGUUGGGCGGGGACCGUGUUCGGGGGUGUAGCUACGGGCUGGGCUAUGGCAAACCGGUGAAAAGAUCCAUUGAUCAAACCCCGUCCGGCGAAAGUCAAAGGGCUAGAUCCGACGGUCGACUAUGUCAGGGUUAGACGGGACGGGUACAUGGGGGGGCGGGGGGUAGCAAUGCCGCCAGGUGUAGAGGUGGGCCCUCCUACGCUUAUUGAUGCGUGGUCGCAAGGGCAAGCACCCGACACUCGACUCCGGGGUGUGCCGCCUCCCGGGCAUCGCUGCCGCCGUGUCACGGAGGGAGGGAACGACCACGUCGGGCCGACAUGGAGGGAAUCUUGGGGUGGGUUGGGCGGGGACCGUGUUCGAGGGUGUAGCUAUGGGCUAGGCAUGGCAAACCGGUGAAAAUUUCCACCGGUCAAACCCCGUUCGGCGGAAGUCAAAGGGCUAGAUCCGGUGGUUGACUGUGUCAGGGUCAGAUAGGACGUGGUACAUGAGGGGUAGCAAUGCCGCCGGGUGUUGCGGUGGGCGCCCUCCUAUACUUGUGGAAGCGUGGUCGCACGCGCAAGCACCCGACACUCGGCCUCGGGGUGUGCCCCCCUCACGGGCGUCGCUCCCGCCGUGUCACGGAGGGAGGAAACGGCCACGUCGGGCCAACAUGGAGGGAAUCUUCGGGUGGCUUGGGCGGGGACCGUGUUCGGGGGUGUAGCUAUGGGCUGGGCUAUGGCAAACCGGUGAAAAGAUCCACCGGUCAAACCCCGUCCGGUGAAAGUCAAAGGGCUAGAUCCGAUGGUCAACUAUGUCAGGGUUAGACUGGACGGGGUACAUGGGGGGGUAGCAAUGCCGCCAGGUGUUGUGGUAGGCCCUCCUACGCUUGUUGAAGCAUGGUCACAGGUGCAAGCACUCGACACUCGGCUCUAGGGUGUGCCCCCCCCUCACGGGCAUCGCUGCCGCCAUACCACGGAGGGGGUAAACUGCCACGUCGGGCCGACACGGAGGGAAUAUUGGGGUGGGUUGGGCGGGGACCGUGUUUGGGGGUGUAGCUAUGGGCUGGGCUAUGGUAAACCGGUGAAAAUUUCCACGGUCAAACCCCGUUCCACGGAAGUCAAAGGGCUAGAUCCAGCGGUCGACUAUGUCAGGGUUAGACGGGACGGGGUACAUGGGGGGUAGCAAUGCCACCAGGUGUUGCGGUGGGCCCUGUUGGAAUUAUGCCCUAGAGGCAAUAAUAAAUAUAGUUAUUAUUAUAAUUCCUGUAUCAAUAUAAUCGUUUAUUAUCCAUGCUAUAAUUGUAUUGAAUGAAGACUCAUUUACAUGUGUGGAUACAUAGACAAAACACUGUCCCUAGCAAGCCUCUAGUUGGCUAGCCAGUUGAUCAAAGAUAGUCAGUGUCUUCUGAUUAUGAACAAAGUGUUGUUGCUUGAUAACUGGAUCACGUCAUUAGGAGAAUUACGUGAUGGACAAGAUCCAAACUAAUAGACGUAGCAUGUUGAUCGUGUCAUUUUGUUGCUACUGUUUUCUGCGUGUCAAGUAUUUAUUCCUAUGACCAUGAGAUCAUAUAGCUCACUGACACCGGAGGANCCUCUCGUAGAUGGACAUCACCAUGAUAGGUCUUCGUGCGCGUAGGAAAAUUUUUGUUUCCCAUGCGACGUUCCCCAACAGGUCCCUCCUCCUUGAUCUAUUCAACGGGCAAUGUGGCAGGGCUGGGGGUUCGAAACCUUAUAACUUGCCAGAACAAGAGUGGGAGGACAUCAUGUUCUAUGUCUUGCACAACAUCACGGAAGUCGAGGAAGAGUGGAUGAGGUAAUACCGCUACACCAUUCCUUUAUGAAAUUCUUCGAGGAUGAGUCCCGUUCUAACACCGAUUAUCUUCUUUCAGUCAAUUCCUACAUGAGGAGUGGACGGGAAUGAUUCCUCCUACUAAAGCGGAGGCACUUACUCUUUUACGGAACGGUGCCUGAAAAUUUUUGUUGCUUGGUUCAUCGAUAAAGUAAUUUGUUCACAUUCCCCUAGUUCAACUUAAUUCCUAGUUCAACAUUUAUGACUUGAUGGAACUAAUGCACCCAUCAAUUUCAAUUACACUUGUAGGGCAAAGAUCCGAACACCUCUAUGGAUGAUGAAUUGAGAUGGGUUUCCAUGGGUUUUAACGCUCAUGUCAUGAAAUGUGAAAAGUAUGAUGUGAAUGGUUAUCGCUUCCAUACAGAGGAUCACCAGAAUAGCCGGCCUGAUCCCAAAACUAUAAACACAGGAGUGUACACCCCAGGAGAAAAUGAAGUUGAGUACUACGGAAGGGUAGGAAAAAUAUACGAGCUGUCAUUCGAUCUUGGUGGCGAGGACCUAAAUCUAGCUGUGUUCAAAUGUCGAUGGUUUGACCCAUAUGAGGGGUUGAGACAUACGCCUUCCCUUGGUUUGGUCGAAGUAAAACAAUCCACCGUUUAUGCAGGAGCCGAUCUUUUUAUUGCAGCUACCCAAGCCACACAAGUUUAUUAUCUGCCCUACCCAUGCCAGAAAGAGUACCUAAAGGGUUGGGAAGUUGUGUUCAAGGUGGAACCACAUGGUAAGCUACCGGACCCGGACGAUGACGACUACUUCUACAUUAACCCCAUGACAUACGAGGGAGUGUUCUAUCAAGAGCAACUUGAUGAUGUUGAUGUGGUUCGAUACAAUGAUGCUGAUGUUGAUGUGGAUCCAAAUGAUGACGAUGCACGAGAUGAUGGCGAGACCAUUGUGAACAACCAAGACAUAUUAUUGCUAGAGAAAUUAAAUGAAUACGCUGAAGACGAGGAAGAGCCUGCACCUACGUCAGACAAUGAAGAUGAUAUGCGUGAUAGUGACGAUGAGACCGGUCGAGGAAACGGUUACAACAGUGAUGAUUCGUAUGGGUUUUAACACAUGUAUGUUCCAUGUCUUAUUUGUAUGUUUUAUUAAUAUGUAUUUUUUAUAUGGUUUAUUAAUAUGACUUUUUUAUAUGUUUUAUUAAUAUGUCUUUUUUAUAUGGUUUAUUAAUAUGUCUUUUCUAUUAUUACACUAACUUUUUAUUCUCUUUUAAUGCAGGUUCGCUAAGUAUGGGAAAAGGCAAGGCCGAUGGUACUGGUUUGCUAAAAAAACUCGUCGCGAAGGUUAGUCGGAGUGGUCGACCCCGUAAUGUCCCCUCCCGACUACUUGACGAUGAGUUCUCACAGGGAGGUCGAGGGAGAGGUGCCCGAGGAGGACGUGGUGGGGGAGAGGCCCAGGGGGACGGUCUCGGGGCCAGAAACUGCGCUCUGUGACCGACAUAGGUGGGUCGUCUUCGCGACCCUUCGCUAGUGAGGUAACCUCUGAGGAGGAGGAGGAGGAGCAGGAGGUUAGGGGGGAGGGGGAGGAGGAGGAGGAGGAGGAGGAACGGGAGGUUAGGGAGGAGGAUGAGGAUGGUGGCGAGGAGGAGGAUGGUGGCGAGGAAGGGGGUGCUGGUGGGGAGGGGGGUGGCAAGCAGAAGGGUUGGCUGCGUGGUGGUGCACGACUCCCAAAUCCUCCUGCUAGCGAGGAGAUGAAGUGGCUCAUUAAGCCCAAGGGGAAAUAGUAAGUGGCCCUUAAUAAUAUUUUUAACACAUAACAUCAUUUUGAUUGUACACAUGCUAAUAUUUUCAUUCUUUUGCAGUAGCUGGGAAUAUCCUGAAGGUGGUCGUAUUCCAAACGGCAUCCUCACUAUCCUGUUGAAGAAGUUUUGGCCAGGGAUCUUUGCUCCGGACCGAAAGAAGGAGGAGCACAAGAUUUUGGCCACGUGCUGGGAGCACUACAAAGCGGCCUACCACCCAACCCAUAAGACGGCCGCUAAGGCCAUGAUAUCAAGGUUUUGGGUAAGUUCUCUUGUGAAGCACAAUUCUUGAGUUACUUUCAUAGUUUAUCAUCACAUCGUUUAACUCAUGGCUUGUUCCAUUCUGGUUUCAUGAAUAACUAUAGAAAUUCUAUAGAGUUCUCGAGGAGCACAAGGCCGAGGCUGAUGAGGUCUUGCUGCGGGCUGCGAGGAAGCAGGCCCGUCAGUGGCGUCAUGAGGUUCGCUUUCUGGCCGUCUCGCAAUAUUAUCACGUGGCAUGUCGCGAGAAGGUGACCAAGGAUGACGUGAAGAAGCGUGACCUUACCUUGACUAAGGAGCAAUACAUGUCGAUAAGUAUAACAGACUUUUCAUUACGACGUUUGUGGUAAAUUUCAUUGUUUCGUGGUCACAUGCCAUUAUGCUUCUUAUCUAGGUGCGUCCUAAUUGGUGCUAUGGAAGUGAUGGAUGGGAGGGAUUGGUGGAUCUGUGGGUCGGCGAGGACGCAAAGUUUGCUCCCAUGAGCAUGAUAAACAAGGCUAAUCGCGGAACCGACGGAACACACCGUCAGGGAAACCAAAACCACUAGCGCCACAAGAAACUUCAGGUAUAUCUAUGUACAUGAAACAUUCUUAAUCUUCUCUUUACCGUAUUAUUAUGUAUCACUAACCUCUGUUUGGUGUUGCAGGAGGAGAAAUUGAAGCGGUCGCUCUCAGACAUCGAGUCGUGGACGCUUGCCCGUGUGCGGCCUAAUCACAAGGCCGGCGAGAGUGAGUACUACGGCCAUACUGGGGAGAACCUGAUGGCAUACACGCAGGAGUUUCAGAAGCGGAAUCCUCAGACAUCAGACCCCAUGUCUGAGGAUACCGACGAGAGGGCCGCCGUCGGCAUAGGGCCGAGGAGUCAUGGUCGGCAUAAGAUUCUGGAUUCUGUGAUCACCCCUUCUGUCUCCUACAGGCAGAUCCGCGCUACCGACCCGAGGACGAGCAAUCGCCCGUGCCCCCGCUCCAGCACGUCCUCUGCACUGUCCCUGCUAGCCCAGCAGAACUCUGUAAGUAUUUUCCCUCUUAUCUUCUUUCAUUCAACCUUUAUUUUCCGCAUUCCUAUGUUUUAUGAGUACCAUCAUGUCAUAUUUUUAGGCCUACAUGAACUUCAUACGUGGGCAACGGUUCGAUUGGAACGAGAGAGUUGCAGCAGUCACUGAGCACAACAGACGCACAACAGAGCUUCUGGUUGCUUCUAUGUCAAGAGGGGAGGUUCCUACACUGCCACCAGCACCACCAUCUCCUGGACCUCAACCAGUGCCGCAUACAUUCGAACAAUUCUUGGCAGAAUACUAUGGCACUCCGGUUAGUACAUCACCAAACUAUUCAACCACAACUUAGCAUUUAUUCAAUACAAUAAUAUAUUGCUUUCCCAUCUCUUUUCAAAAAUGCAGGGAACUGAUGGAUCAUUCGCCGGUGGUGGUCCUACUGAUGGAUCAUUCGCCAGUGGUGGUCCUACUGAUGGUUCCGCUCACGAGCCACAAAGCCCAAUCACUCUUAUCUCGCAAGGAGGUGGCUGUGGUGGUAGCGUUAGCGGUGGUCUAUGUUGAACUAUGCUAGUGGUGGUGUCCGCCUUUAUAUUUUGUUGAACUUGUUAUUAUGUAGUUGUCCUGAACUUGUCAUUAUGUUGUUGCGUUGAACUUGGCGGUAGCGGUGCCCUAUGUUGAACUAUGUUGUGUUGAACUAUAUUAUGUGUUCUAUAUGUUGAACUAAAUGUUAUGCUGAACUAUAUCCUGUGUUUUAUAUGUUGUAUAUCCUGUCUAUUUAAAUGAAAAUGCAAAAAAAAUAAAAAAUUGUAACUACGCCGACGGUUAGGCCGUCGGCAUAGAUGGACACGUGGCACCAUCUGGUAGCUCCUGGCGCAGCACUACGCCGACGGUUAGGCCGUCGGCAUAGAUGGACACGUGGCACCAUCUGGGAGCUCCUGGCGCAGCACUACGCCGACGACUAGGCCGUCGGCAUAGAUGGACACGUGGCACCAUCUGGCAGCUCCUGGCACGGCACUACGCCGACGGUUAGGCUGUCGGCAUAGAUGGAGGUAUGCCGACGGCCUAACCGUCGGCGUAGCACCGCGUCAGGUGGUGCCACGUGCUGCCAUAGUAUUGGUGCUGGCCUAACGACGUCGCCGUUAACGGCCGUCAGGUGAAAAAACUAUGCCGACGGUGUAUCUAAGCCGAGGGUUGUACGGCCACCGUCGGCAUAGUCACAUACGCCGACGGCCUUUCUAUGCCGACGGCCUCCACUGGAUACGCCGACGUCUGAGUUGCCGACGGAGGUACGCCGACGGUCCCCGUCGGCGUAGCCCUAUGCUGAUGGCCUGUGGGCCUACGCCGACGGGGUUAGGCCGUCGGCAACUAGCCUUAUUCUGGUAAUGACUGACCAUAGUUUCAUAGUAGCCAUUUUCUAAGUUGAUAGUGUCACUUCAAGUGGUAAUUUGUAUAGGCAUAUUGCUAGUGUUUUUUAUAUCUAGCUUUGUAUAUUUCCUUACAUUUGCUGAGAUUGGUAUCACUUCAGCCUAACAUGCUUCUUUCUAUAUCUGAACAGGGAGAGGUCAAGAGUGCAGAGCUCAUUGGUAAUGCCAUUGCCAACAAGCCAGCUUUCGUAGCAGUCACACAGAUUGAAGUCGCCAGGGAGAUUGCCCACAACAUCUCAGCCUCCAACAACAAGGUUUUCCUGGACUUGCGUGACCUGCUGGUUGGGCUCCAGUUGCCCAAGAUCUUGGGCAGCAAGAAGAAAUAAGACAGUUUCCUGUCACACAUGUUAUGGUUACCAUCCGCCGUCUCCAUCGAAGAAGUACUCUUGAGGGGAACAAACACAUAGUUUCUUGCAUUCCGACUGAAAACAACAAAGACACCUUGCUACAGUGAACUGUUGGUGCGCUUUUCGAACGAACCUGUCAGCUACUAUUGCUGUUCAUAGCUAUGGUAAAUUGUACUGUUUCGUUCCCUCUUGACCCAGCGCAGAUGCAUGCUUUACUGCUUACCAGCGUGCAAAAUCCAUUUUGGGACCGACCAAGGGGUCUGCUUUUAGUUGGCCAUGUUGUUGAUUUUUGUUGAAGUGAUUAGCUAGUAAUUUGGACAAGUGGUUGGAACCUGGUACAUGUAAAGGGUUUUGGCAUUGCCAUUUCUGAGCAUAUUCUGCAACUGUAGCAUGCAAGGGAAUUGGACACAUCUGAAGUGUUUACCAAUUAGGAUAGGUGGGUGUGGUCUGGUACAUAUAAGGUAUUUACCAUUAUCAUUUGUGAGUGAUCAGUUACCGUGGCGACAGCUGUUAUGGCAUACCUAGCAUCGAUACAGCCAAUUUUUGUUGACUCUUUUGGAAUUUAAUGCACCCUAUGUCAGUUGAUCUGUGAAUUCCUACAACAUUGUAGCCUAUGCAGUGUCUACUGGAAAUUGCUCUGUGAAUAUGCAUUUUAGCUCAUUUGCUUUUAAUGUAUUAACAGUAGUUACCAUUAUAUAUUGCAUGUGAAUAAGUAUUUUAACUCAUUCACUUUGAAUCUGUUAGCAGCAGUGAGAAGUACUUUUUUUUUGCUUAAUCAUUAUAUGUUGCCAUGACCAUUUAAGACAAUUAGCUGAUGCUCAACAAGUUAUAUCAUUCUGACUGAAUUUGUGUUAUGACCGGUACAACGUACCAACGGAGGAGGCCCAAUGAGCAGGGUUAGUUAGGGGCUUAGCCCUAGUUAUCUUAGGUAUAUUAGAGUCCAAGUUAUAUUAGAAGUUCAAGUUAUAUUAGAAGUCCAAGUUAUCUAGGGUUUAAUGGAGGUUGUCCUCCUAUAUAAACACAUGUACCCCUUCGAUAUUAAGCAGACAAUAAACAGUAUUCUGUUGUCGUCUUCCUUAGGAGACGGGAGCCCCAAACCCUAGCCGUCUCUCUCUCUCUCACGCCGCGACGGCACCCAACCGCCGGCGCCAGCGUCCCCAACCUCGCAGCCCGCACUUCCACCCCUACAACCUGCGUCCGAGACCUGGUAGAACCCUAGCCUCUACCAAUUUGGUAUCAGGUAGCUUGGGUUCGAUGAAUUUGUCGGACCUUCCCACCACCACCGCCACCGCCACCACCGCCUUCCCCGCCACCUCGCAGCAACCGCCACCGCCGCCGGCCACCUCAGGUCCAGCCGCCUCCGGUACCGCGGCCCUGGCGGCCGAAGCCGCCCCCGUCCUCUCCCCGACGGAGUGUCCUCGGCAAUCCGCGACCUCACCCUGGCGGUCUCGAACCUCCAGACUUUCCUCCAGGCUCCGUACGCAACCCCGCCACCACUGCCUCCGCCGGCGGCGCCCUUCGGGACACCGCCCCGGCCACCGUCGCGCCCCAGGGCCUGCCGAUCACCCAGGUCUGUUGGCCGCCGUCGCCGUCCCCGCUACCGACGUGGAUUGACACGCCGACCUACACGACGGCGCCGCUACAGCCGACGGUGUUGCAGCCACUCGCCCCACCUUCGGGGGGUUCGGCGGGUCCGCUGACUCGUACGCCGGACGCUCCGUGGUGCCGUAGCACUCUCCUUCUGCCGCGCUGGGUCGUCCCGAGGGCGCCUACGUGGCCUCGCCACACGUGCAGCAGCCACGCCGCUUCACCAAGCUGGAGUUCGCCACCUACGACGGCACCGUCGACCCCCUGAACUGGCUCAAUCAGUGCGACCAGUUUUUUAGGGGGCAGCGGACCAUGGCGUCCGACCGCACGUGGAUCACCUCCUACCACCUCCGUGGCGCUGCCCAGACGUGGUAUUACGCCCACGAGCAGGACGAGGGCGGGAUGCCUCCGUGGGAGCGCUUUCGCGACCCGUGUCUCCUCCGGUUCGGCCCCCCCAUACGUGGGACCCGCCUGGCCGAGCUCGGUCGCCUUCCCUUCACCACCUCGGUGCAGGACUUCGCCGACCGCUUCCAGACGUUGGCCUGCCAUGCGCCUGACGGGCUUGCCAACGCGCCUUCCCGACCACAUCCGCAUCGACGUCGAGAUGCGCGACCCCCAGGACCUGCAGACGGCCAUGUAUUAUGCACGCACGUACGAGCAGCGCAUCAACGCCCUGCAGCAGGCGUUCCCGGGCCGCGGCAUGCGUCCCCCGACCCGCCCCGCCCCGGCGGCCGCCACCCCGACACGCCCUGCCCUGCCGGCCACUACUGCGACUGCCCCCGCGCCGACACGCACCUUCCGGCGCUUGACGUCGGCCGAGCAGCUCGAGCGACACCACAAGGGCCUGUGCUUCAACUGCGACGAGCCGUAUACGCUGGGUCAUACGUGCGCCCGCCUGUUCUACUUGGAGACCGUCGACGACGCGGAGGUGGAGGCCCUCAUCACGGAGCUCGACGCCACCACACUCUCCGAGGCCGGCGUCACGACCUACGGGCCGGUCGAUGCGACCGCCUUCGUCGUCUCCCUUCAUGCCAUGGCUGGCAUCAAGACGGCAAAGACGAUGCUGCUUCCGCUGACGAUCAACGUGGAGCGUCUCACCGUGCUCGUAGACACGGGUUCGACGCACAACUUCCUGUCCGGGGACGCCAUGCGCCGCCUCGCACUCCAACCGGCGGGCUCGGAGAAGUUCAGCGUCACCGUUGCCAACGGGGACCGCCUUGCUUGCUAGGGGGUGGCGCGACAGGUUCCCGUCCUUAUCGGCGACGAGCCGUUCUCCAUCGACUGCGUCAGCAUCGACCUGGGCUGCUACGACUUCAUCCUCGGCAUCGACUUCCUGUCCACUCUUGGCCCCAUCCUUUGGGACCUCGAUGUGUUGUCCCUCAUCUUCUGGCGCGAGGGCGGUCGUCGCAUUCAGUGGACAGGCAUCGGCGGCUCCGGCGCCGCGACUCCGCAGCUCCAGUUGAUGGCGGCCGCACUAGACGAGCGCAUCCCCUCCUGGCGCUUCUGCAUCGACUACCGUGCCCUCAACGCCCCGACGUCCAAGGACAAGUUCCCCAUCCCCAUAGUGGAUGAGCUCUUGGACGAGCUACACGGAGCGCGCUUCUUCACCAAGCUCGACCUUCGCUCGGGCUACCAUCAGGUGCACAUGCACCCUGACGACAUCAAGAAGACGGCGUUCCGCACUCACCAUGGCCACUUUGAGUUCCUGUUGAUGUCGUUCGGCCUCUCCAACGCGCCGGCGACCUUCCAGGCCCUGAUGAACGACGCACUCAGCCCAUACAUGUGCCGCUUUGUGCUUGUUUUCUUUGAUGACAUUCUUAUCUACAGUGCAUCUUGGGCGGAGCACGUACAACACGUGGCCAUCAUCUUCAACGAGCUUCGAGCGCAUCGUCUUCACCUCAAGCGCUCGAAGUGCUCGUUCCGCACGACCUCCGUCACGUACCUGGGGCAUGUCAUCUCGGCGUACGGGGUAGCGAUGGACGCGGACAAGGUCGCCGCCGUUGCCGCGUGGCCGACCCCGCGGUCACCGCGGGCGCUCCGCGGUUUCUUGGGCCUCGCCGGCUCCUACCGGAAGUACAUCCGGGAUUUCGGCCUCAUCGCCGCGCCAUUGACGCGUCUCUUUCGACGCGACGCCUUCUCCUGGGACGAGGAGGCGACUACGGCAUUCGAGGCUCUCCAGCGGGCGCUAACGGCGGGACCCGUCCUCCAGAUGCCGGACUUUGGUAUGCCGUUCGUGGUGGACUGCGACGCCUUUGGCAUCGGCUUCGGCGCCGUCCUCCACCAGGGCGAGGGACCGCUCGCUUUCUUCAGUCGCCCCUUCGCCGCUCGCCAUCACAAGCUCGCGGCCUACGAGCGCGAGCUUAUUGGGCUGGUUCAGGCGGUGCGCCACUAGCGGCCUUAUCUUUGGGGCCGGUCAUUCCGUGUGCGCACAGACCACUAAAGCCUCAAGUUCUUGCUGGACCAGCGCCUCUCCACCGUUCCGCAGCACCAGUGGAUCAGCAAGCUCUUCGGCUUCGACUUCACCGUCGAGUACCGCCCCGGCCGUCUCAACACGGUCGCCAGCGCCUUGUCCCGCCGUGACACUGAGGAUGUCGCGGACGACGUCGCCAUGGCUGGCAUUAUCAUGUGCAUCCGCUCCGGGCGAUCUUUCGCCUUCAUCGACGACAUUCGCCGGGCAACUUCGACGGCCGCGGACGCGCAGGGCCUGCGCCAGCGCCUUGACGCCGGCGAGCUGGACGCGCCCUGGCGCUUGGAUGAGGGGCUGCUCCUACAUGGCCGCCGCAUCUUCGUGCCCGACCAUGGCGACCUGCACCACCAGGUCCUGACCUUGGCGCACUAUGCAAGGCACGAGGGCGUGCAGAAGACUCUCCAUUGUCUCCGUGCUGAUUUUUUACAUCCCCGGUGAUGGCGUGAUGGUCCGCGACUGGGUGCGGUCGUGCGUGACGUGCCAGCGGAACAAGACGGAGACACUACGACCCGCGGGUCUAUUGCAGCCGCUGGACGUACCCUCCCAGGUAUGGGUGGAUAUUUCCAGGAACUUCGUCGAGGGUCUUCCCAAGGUGGGCGGCAAGUCCGUCAUCCUCACGGUGGUUGACCGCUUCUCCAAGUACGCGCGCUUCAUCGCCCUGGGUCUUCCAUAUACAGCCGCGUCCGUGGCGCGGGCCUUCUUCGACGGCAUCGUCCGCCUCCACGGUUUUCCUUCAUCCAUCGUCAACGAUCGUGAUCCCAUGUUCACGGGACAUGUCUGGCGGGAUCUCUUUCGUCUGGCGGGCGUGAAGCUCCGCAUGAGCACGGCGUUCCACCCUUAGACAGACGGCCAAUCCGAGGUGGUCAACAAGGUGAUCGCCAUGUACCUUCGUUGUGUUAUUGGUGAUCGUCCACGAGCUUGGGUGGACUGGUUGGCGUGGGCGGAGUACUGCUACAACACUUCCUAUCACUCGCCCUUCGCACCACGCCUUUCGUGGUCUACGGGCGCCCACCUCCAGCGAUGCUCCCUUACGAGCCUGGGACGGCUCGGUCCGAGACGGCGGGCGACUUACUCCGCACCCGCGAUGACAUUCUGGCUGAGGCGCGCCAACGUCUUCUCCAAGCACAGCAGCUGGCUCGGAAGUACUACGAUGCUCAUCAUCGCGAGGCGGAGUUCGCGGUGGGCGAUUGGGUGUGGCUCGCCUCCUCCACAGGACCACGUAGUCUCUGGACCCGCGCUCCAAGCGCAAAUUGGGACCUCGCUACGCCGGUCCCUUUCGUGUGCUGGAGCAUGUCGGCACACUCGCAUACCGCUUGGAGCUGCCAGCUGGUUCUCGCCUCCACGACGUCUUCCAUGUUGGCUUACUGAAGGCCUUCCGCAGGGACCCUCCUACAGCGGCGCCGGCCCUUCCUCCUACUUCAGAUGGCCGCCUCCUUCCAGCUUCCGCACAGGUGGCGAAGGUGUUGCAGGCGCAACAGCGUCGCGGCGUCUGGCAUGUCUUAGUACAGUGGACCGGCCUGCCAGAGGAGGAAGCGACUUGGGAGAAGCUCGACGAUUUCCGCCAGCAGUUUCCAAAUGUUCAGCUCGAGGACGAGUUGUUUGAGAAGGCGGGGAGAGAUGUUAUGACCGGUACAACGUACCAACGGAGGAGGCCCAAUGGGCAGGGUUAGUUACGGGCUUAGCCCUAGGUAUCUUAGGUAUAUUAGAGUCCAAGUUAUAUUAGAAGUCCAAGUUAUAUUAGAAGUCCAAGUUUUAUUAGAGUCCAAGUUAUCUAGGGUUUAGUGGAGGCUGUCCUCCUAUAUAAACACAUGUACCCCUUCGAUAUUAAGCAGACAAUAAACAUUAUUCUGUUGUCGUCUCCCUCAGGAGACGGGAGCUCCAAACCCUAGCCGUCUCUCUCUCUCUCAUGCCGCGACGGCACCCAACCGCCGGCGUCCCCAACCUCGCAGCCCACACUUCCACCCCUACAACCUACGGCCGAGACCUGGUAGAACCCUAGCCUCUACCAAUUUGUUAUUGGUCAUGUACUUCUUUUCAAAAAUAGCAUUUACGUUGCAGCUCCUUGUAUAUAUUUGAUAACACUUAAUAAUUUGGACAGGUGGGAAUUGGUCUUUGUGUUCUUACACAACCCAUGCUGGAGAGACUACCAACUAUGUACAGGACCCUGGGGGAGAACUAUAAUGAGAGAGUGUUGCCUUCUUCAUCAUAUAUUUUCAUUACACUUGUUGAGUACUGAACAUUUGAACCUACCGCUGGUAUUCAUGUGCAUUCCAUUUGUUGAGUUUAUCAUACAUGGUUUCCAUACGACUUCACCUAUUUGCGAUGUCCAUAGUUUCAGACUUUCAGUACUGGUUAGUACAUGCAUAUUGCUAGUGCUGUUUAUGUCUUCAUAUCUUCAUAUAUCAUAUAUGUUACUCACUGCAUUUACCGACUUUCGGACCACUUGAGCUCGAGUCUAGUAAUUUUGCACAUUUCAUAUGGUAGUCGAUUUCUGUGUCCAUGGUUUAGGUUUAGACUUUCAGUGGAACGUUCAUAUGACAUUACAUAAUUUCCGCCAUCCAGUGGUAUGUUCGGAUGACUGAACAUAGUUUCAGACUUCAAGUUCGUUCAUACGACUGAAUAUAGUUCGUACCAGCGACCAUCGUUUCAAACUUAACAUUUUCUAUCUUCAUAGUGUCACUUCCAGUGGUAGUUAGUAUAGGCAUAUUGCUAGUGCUGUUUGUAUCUUCAUAGCUUUGUAUAUUUCCUUGCAUUUGCUGAGUUUAGUUGCACUUGAGCCUAACACUUGUUAGACAUUUGUAUAUGUCUUCUUCAAACUAGUAACCACCGCCCCACGCACAGAUCUGUGGAUCUCAGCCGCCCGUAAUGCGUGCGAUGGGUUUGCUUACUCCUUCCUGUUUUUUCUGUCCCGAUUGUGGUGGAUCCUUUCACGUUUGAUUUCUGGUCAGUUUUGGUGUGCUCCGUGCAGGUCUACCCAGAGGGGACUCAGAUCGUCAUCCCGUGAUUUGUGAGGCCGAUCAUCUAUGACGUCCGUGCACAACCCAACCUCGUGGAGAGCACCUCUGGCCUCCGGGAGCCGGCUCCAGAUGGUAACUUUCUCUUGUGUCGAUCCCUCUUCACCUAGCACAGAUGCGUGAUUUACUGUUACCUGUGUGUCAAAUCCAUGUUUUGGACUGACCAAGGGGUCUGCUUUUAGUUGGCUAUGUUGUUGAUAUUCUGCAAAUGUAGCCUGUAAGAGGAUCUGGUUCAUGUGAAGUGAUUAGCUAGCAAUUUUUACAUGGAAAGGGUUUUGGCAUUGUCAUUUCUGACCCGCAAAAAAAGGCAUUGUCAUUUCUGAGCAUAUUCUUUCACUGUAGCCUGCAAGGGGAACGGACACAUGUAAAGUGUUUACCAGUUUGGAUAGGUGGGUGGGUUCUGGUACAUGUAGGGUGUUUCCCAUAAUCAUUUCCGAUUGUGAAGUUACAGUGACAACAGCUGUGAUGGCAUACCUGGCAUCUAUGGACUCAAUUUUUGUUGAUUCAUUUGGAUAUUAAGGCAACCCAUGGUAGUUGAUCUAUGAAAUCCUACACCAUUGUAGCCUUGGACUGUCUAGUGUCUACUGCUCUGUGAAUAAGCAUUUGAGCUCAUUUGGUUUUUAUCUAUUUGGAGUGGUCACCAUUAUAUAUUGUCUGUGAAUAAGCAUUUGAACUCAUUUUUUCUUGGAAGCUGUUAACAGAAGUGACAAGUAAUUUUUUUUCGUUCAUCAUUAUAUGUUGCCAUGAUCAUUUAAGAUGAAUAGGUGUUGCCGAACAAAGUUAUAUAAUGUUGACUAUGUGAAUUUGUUAGUUGUCAUGCACUUCUUUUCAUUCCCAAAGUAGCAUUUACACUGCAGCACCUAGCAUACAUUUGAUACCACUCGAUAAUUUGGGCAGGUGCGAACUGGUCUUCGUGUCCUUACAUGACCCAUGCCAGAGAGACUACCAUGUACAGGACCCGGGGGAGAACUACAAUGAGAGAGUGUUUCCUUCAAUCAUUCAUAAACAUUCAAAGUUGUGGUUGCCCAAUACAGAGAGAGGUACAACUUCAUCAUGUUCAAUGUGUGUACAUGUUUCACAUGCUAUAUAUAUACUCCCUCUGUCCCAUAAUAUAAGAACNNNNNNNNNNNNNNNNNNNNNNNNNNNNNNNNNNNNNNNNNNNNNNNNNNNNNNNNNNNNNNNNNNNNNNNNNNNNNNNNNNNNNNNNNNNNNNNNNNNNNNNNNNNNNNNNNNNNNNNNNNNNNNNNNNNNNNNNNNNNNNNNNNNNNNNNNNNNNNNNNNNNNNNNNNNNNNNNNNNNNNNNNNNNNNNNNNNNNNNNNNNNNNNNNNNNNNNNNNNNNNNNNNNNNNNNNNNNNNNNNNNNNNNNNNNNNNNNNNNNNNNNNNNNNNNNNNNNNNNNNNNNNNNNNNNNNNNNNNNNNNNNNGUUCUUAUAUUAUGGGACGGAGGGAGUAGUAGAUAGUAGCCGCCGACCUUGUUGGAAUAUGUUACCAACAUAUCCUUUUAUGUAAUGGCGGGCUGUGAGCAGGGAGAUCAGGAAUAUUCUGACAGAGAGGGCCAGAAAUUUCAUUACCAUUCUCAGUUUUGGUAAAGAGUUGGUUCAUGCCAUUGAAGCCAAACAGUAUGCUGUGCAGGAAGCUGAGCAUGCCAAGCUCAUUGUUGAGAAGGACGAGGAAGACAAGAAAAGUGCAAUUAUCAGGGCACAGAUGAGCAAAACAGAUACUAGAUAAUUUCUCUUUCAUACAACUUCACCUACUUUCCCUGUAAGUUCCAGUCAUAAUUCCUAGAUGCAUUGUAUGCCAGUGUUCUUUGUCUUCAUAGCUUCAUCAUAAAUCUUAUUAUAUUUGUGCACUUUUGGAGCAUUUGAGCAUAACGCUGGUAGUUCUGUACUUUCCAUUUUUUGAGUAUAUGAUGCAUGAUUUCCAUAUGGCUUCACCUAUUUGCUGUGUCAUUAGUUUCAGACUUUCAGUGGUAGUUACUAGAGACUUGUUGCUAGUGAUGUUUAUGUCAUCAUAGCUCAUAGUCACUUGUGGAGUUUCACUGUAUUUGCUGAGUUUGGAAGCACUUCAGCCUGACACUAGUAAUUUUGCACAUUUCAUAUGUUAGAUGAUUGCUAUGUUCACAGCUUCAGAUAUCGCUCAUUUUUAAUACAUCUAGAACUUGCAUGGUUUCUGUACUUGUUCUUAAGUUGUAUGUUAUGUACAUGGUUUCUUAUGUUCAUUUUGGUGAUUGAUAAAUCGUGUCGGCAACAAUUUUAUGCAUUUUGCUAUCUUCUGCAAUAUUUCUUCUUGUGAUUGCUAAUGUUUUAGUGGUAGUCUUGAAGUGGUAUGCAAUGCUUGUUCUCUUUGUUGUCCAUGCUCCGUUCACACUUCAUUAUGCUUGAUAUCUUUUGUACGUCUUUUAUUCGGUAGCUCUAAAGCAUCUCUGAACUCAAACUUUCAGUGUUCCAAAACUACGCCUUGCCCUUGCAGGGUGCAACCAUGACAUUGUUUCAGUCUAAGUUUUGGUACUGCUGCUGACAUACAGAGUGCCAUUGUCAUCCUUAAUGAUAGGGGAAAAGCUAUUUUGUUACAUCCUUUCAACUAUUCAGUCAUUCUUGAUGAUACAGUGAUUCCACAUUGCAGUAACUGACAUGUUCUGUGAAUUGUGAAUUUCGAAUGCAUCUAUUUUGAGCUGUAUCACUGGGAUAAGUUUUCCUGUGUGGUAUAUGGUAGUACCAGUUGGCCGCAUCAUCUCGGCGAACUCACUGAGAUAUGUUUUCCUGUGUGGUAUAUGAUAGUACCAGUUGGUCGCAUCAUCUGGCAAACUCAGCGAGAUAAGUUUUCCUGUGUGGUAUAUGGUAGUACCAGUUGGUCGCACCAUCUCGGCAAGCUCACUGAGAUAAGUUUUACUGUGUGGUAUAUGGUAGUACCAGUUGGUCAUAUCAUCUCGUCAAACACACUUUAUGAAAGACUACAUAAAGAAAUCAAAAUUCGAGAACAGUUGCUAACAAUCAUCUCUAUGAAAGAUAGCUUUCUCCAUUUUUAAGCUUUCGAAGUUAACCUUUUGGCGCACUUUAGUCUAAUUUGGAGGUUAUCUGUAUUCAGGUCCUUGUUAAUGACAACUUCAGGUACGGUCACAAUGCAGCUACAGAGAAGUACGAGGAUUUGAUGGCUGCUAGUAUGAUUGAUCCUACCAACGUACAGGGAAGUACUCCCUCCGUCCCAAAUUAAGUGACUCAACUUUGUACUAACUUUAGUGCAAAUUUAGUACACAGUUGAGUCAUUUAUUUUGGGACAGAGGGAUUAUUAUAUGCAUGUUCCUCUUUUCCGAGGGAUGCUUAGCUGUCUUCGCACUACCUUGCAGUCAACAACACCUGAUCCUGUAGCUGCAAGAGAUCUCCAUCCCUCAAUCCCUCCCUCCUUAAUCUUUCAUAGAUCUCAUAGCAGAUUGUUUUGUUAUAUACAUCCAACUUGAUCUAGCAGCAAAUGGAUUGUUUUCUAUGGUUAACUAAGUUUGCUGUCAAGAUUUAUGUUUUGGACACAAAGAUUGAUAUGCGCUCCAAUUUUGAACUUCAAAAAAUGAUGAAUUUGUUUCUCUGAAAUUUUCAUCAAUCUUUGGUUUCACUGCUGUCCCUUCAGUUUCUUUUAUCUCUAUUGUCCUUAGUCUGAAGACUCGGUAGAUUUUACAUAAACGGCCUACCCGCCGCCGCUUUUGCAGUUUAUGAAUGUACAAUUUAUGUGGUCUAUGCAAUUUAUGUAAAUGGUCCAUGGAUUGUGGUUUAUGGAAGAUUAUGGGUGAGCUGUGAGCACGUUUGGAAGAAUACUAGACAGUUCUGUUCUUCUGGAUGGUACUUGACGCUUAUUUUCAUGGGUUGAUGCGCCGUUGUACAAGUUGUGGCAUCAACCCACACACGAGCAACGGAUUGGAUUGGAUUGGGUGCAAAACGAAAAAUGGUAUGGGGUGGGUUGGGUUCUAAUUUAUAUUUUUGGCUUGGGGUGGUGUGAACUCAAGUAUUUAUGCAUGGUUUGGUCUGGAUACGGGGUGGGCCAUUCCCAGCUUGAAUAAGGUGUAUUAAUUUUUUUCCGCGGCAGAAUAUGGUGUAUUGACUUUUUUAUUGCACUAGAAUACUGUUUAUUGGUUGAGCUGGGUUAGUGUAAUCUCUUUUUAGUUCUAUUAUCGUUACAUCAUUAGUUCGUUACAAGCCAGGUGGAAAAUGGAUCAGAAUUUCAUUACUCCCUCCGUCUCAGUUUAAGAACUAAAUAUGAGCAGCGGAUGUAGUUUAAACAUAUAUUUUUAUGGAUGUAGUUUUUAAACAUAUAUUUUCAUAAAUAUAAUACAUAUCUAGAAUGACGUGCAUGACUUGUAAACUGAGACGGAGGGAGUAGGGCCUGUUCGGCAACCGCCCAGCGCAAAAAAUCACGGAUCAGAAAUCACUAGUCUUGGGCUGCUAGCCGGCUAGCCCAUUUAGCUCGUUUUUGGCCUGGUAAAAAGGCUCCUGUCAUUUCUUUCCUCAUAUGAAACGUCUACUUUUACUUUGGGAUGGCAACUCUAUGUGAAUAACCCAAACUUUGUUCGGGUUUUUUCCGCUUCCUCAACUGCGCUCCCAAAGCGGAGCAGGCUACAACGUAUUUUGGGGGAGCUGCUCAAACCGAGCUCCACAGCUUCGUGGAGUGGAGCGGAGGGGAGAGAUUCCGAACAUGACCCUAGAACACACGCUCCGUGUUUUUCAUUAGCAGAUCCAGGAAGCUAGCUUCGCGGAGCCAGGCUGUUCGGCUCAGCUCCAGGCACCGGCUCAGCUCCGUGCCUGGAUUCAUUGAAGCUGGAAGGUAGGUUUUUCCGAACAUGCCCUUACCUAUGAUUGUUUGUUUUCAGCAUAUUUAGACAGAUCAGGAUUGUAUUUGCCCCAUGGACACAGUACCUAAGCAAUAUAUGGUGUAUUGAUUGAGCAUGGUUAGUGGUAUCUUUGUCGGCUACUUGAUUGACUCUUUUAUCAUAGCUGAGCAAACAAGUACAUUGGCAUUCACGAAAGAAAGAAAACAAGUAGAAAGGCACUUUAUUUAUAUAUGUGAUGAAAAAACAAUUACAUAUACAUUUAAUUUGUAUAUGCGCUGAAGAAACAACUACAAAGGUACUUUAUUUACAUAUACACUGAAGAAACAAUUACAAUGACACUUUAUUUGUAUAUAUGUAGAAGAAACAAACAGAAAGGCAGUAUAUUUGAAUAUAUGCUGGAGAAACAAAUAUAAACGCACUUUAUUUUGCAUAUAAGCUCACAAAACGAACACAAAGACACUUUAUUUGUAUAUAAGCUGAAGAAACUAGUACAAAUGCACUUUAUUUGUAAACAAGCUGAAGAAACAAAUACAAAGGUACGUUAUUUGUCUAUACGCGGGAGAAACAAAUACAAAGGCACUUUAUUUGUAUAUAUGUUGAAGAAACAAAUAAAAGGGCACUUUGUUUGUGUAUACGUUGAAGAAACAAUUUCAAAGGCACUUUAUUUUUAUUUAUGCUUAAGAAACAGUUACAAAGGCACUUUAUUUCUAUGAAAGGUGAAAAAAAAAUAUUACAAAGCCACUUUGUUUGCAUGUACACUGGAGAAACAAAUAGAAAGGCACUUUAUUUGUAUGUAUGCUGAAGAAACAAAUAAAAGACAUUAUUUGUACAUAUGCUGAAGAAACAAAUAGAAAAACACUUUAUUUGUACAUAUGCUAAAGAAACAAAAACAAAGACACUUUAUUUGUAAAUAUGCUGAAGAAACAAAUUGGAAGGCACUUUAUUUGUAUAUAUAGCUUGAGGAAACAAGUACAAAGGCACUUUAUUUAUCUUUACGUUGAAGAAACAAGUAUAAAGGCCCUUUAUUUAAUUGUACUAGCAAACAGAUCUGUGCAUUACAACGGAAGAAAAUAAUAAUCAUAAUGGAAUUCGAUGAAGGACUUUAGAAAUAUUGGUGGUGAUAGAAUUUAACACCUUACAUAUGUUAUGUAGGGCCAAUUCUUGGUGAUUCUGGGUUUGAAAAAUCAAAAGCUUAAAAGAACUCGAUUUGCUUCUUCAAAAUCAUCUGAGAAUCAGUAGAAUCGGCAGUGUAUCUCAGAAUCGAGCAAAAGGGCAGCUUCUGGCGAUUCUGAUAAGUUCUACGAAACAAAAUGUUUUGUUUAGACACAAUACCCCUAUUUGGCAUACAAAUUACAAAGAAAAUGCCACCGGUGGCCACCCUUGAUCCCCAACUCCCAGAUCGCCUGCAGGUACCAGGUAGGGUUCUUGGGCCAUCAUCGCCGGAGAGCCCGCCCGACAGCUCCUCCAUCCGUCGGACACCGACCCUCCACCUUGCUCCUCUGCUCCGCCCGCUUGCCUCCUCCGCCGGAGAGCCCGCCCCGGCAGCUCCUCCGCCCGCUCGCCUCCUCCGCUCUGGCCCGCCCACCGAAGAGCCUGCCCGCUCACCACCUCCGCUCUGCCCGCUCGACAGCUCCUCCGCCUGCUCGCCUCCUCCGCUCCGCCCGCUCGCCUCCUCUGCUCCGCCCGCCCGCCAGAGAGCCCACCCCGGCAGCUCCUCCGGCCGCUCGCCUCCUUCGCUCCGCUCCGCCCGCCCGCCGGACGCAGUUCUUCCGCUCUGUGUGACCCUGCAGCAGCCGACAAGAGCUGACUCAUCUCGUCAGUUCAGGUACAUUAGAGUCAUUUCAGCAUACAACUCAUCUCACAUUCACUGAUUACAAUUUCAAAAAAGAACUCGAUGGUUGAUUCUACAUGAUUUUAUGAAAAACUGAUUCUGUGAGAAGUUUUUCAAAAGCCGAUUCUGGAGAAUCAAAAGCUAAAAAGAACUCGGCCAUAGUCGUGGUUGGUCUCGUAGUAGUCGAGCCGGUCAUGCAUCAUAUGCACACUUCAUUUUGUUUUGAGAGCCGGAGUAGUAAAACUCAGGUGGUGUUACAAUCUGAGUGAACUAGAUGUCUUGUGGUCUUCCCAUGUGGAUGUUUCUAUAUUUUGCAUUGUACUCCCUCCGUUUCUAAAUAUAAGACAUUUUAGAGAUUGCACUAUAAACUACAUAUGAAUGUAUAUAGACAUAUUUUAGAGUGUACAUUCAUUCAUUUUGUUUUGUAUAUAGCCUCCUAGUGAAAUCUCUAAAAGGUCUUGUAUUUUGGAACGGAGGGAGCAUGUCAGUAUGUGUAAGAACUUUGUCUUUGCGUCGUUGUCGUCAUUUUCCCAUUUAAGACUUGUGUUUAGCUUAUUGUGGAACUACCUAAAUAUAUCCUUUUAAUUUUAGGUAUGUGAGAUGUCUAUCCUUUUCCCGGCCUCAAUUAUGAACUAACAAAUAUAUUGCUUCUUCAAAUUCUCGGUUUGAAUGAAAAUAGGCUACAGUGGCUAAGUUAUCUUAUUUUAUUUUAUUUUUCAAGGAAACUUUAUCUUGUUAUAGGUUCAAUUUCGACUUUUUCAUAUGAAAAUAUAAUCAUUUUACUUUACUAUUAUCCUUUUUACAUGUAGUCGCACAUGUUCAAUAUACAUCGUUAGGUUGCUUUCAAAGGUGAAAAAUACAGGUCUCAGACCGCUCGUGUACUUCCAGUGCAUAGAUGUUAAGAUAAAGUGCUAAACAUAUUAAAUGAAUUAACAACUAAAACCAUCAAUAUAUAGGUGUUUAACUUGUUGUUGCUAAGCCCUCUUUAUUUAAUGAUUUAGCAACUAAAGCUUUUCAUGCAUUAGUGGGUUUCUUUCAUUGAAAUGUUUUGCCUAAGUUCACGCGUUUAGCAUUGUUACUUUCUACGGUUACUAUAUACAUCUAUUUCCCCUUAAUUACCUUGUCACAUCAGAUUUUUUGUCUACAUGACAACCUUAACACUUGUACAAGAUGGAGGUGGAGCAUUGAAAGAGGCCUUAGAGGCUCAUGAUCUGGACCGAGGCAGAGCUAAGCUUCAGUCAAGGUGCUUCUGUGGACUCAUCGCAGCUUCCGAGCUAGCUCAGCAGCCCGGUUCACCAAAGUCCGGCAUGGCACGGCUCGCCAGCCCUACCAAAGGAUAUGACUCUCAGCAAACGAAAUUUGCAUCCAGCUGAUGCUGCAUUCGNN
rnacentral:lncRNA from 1 species